CCUUGAUGCUUCGCUUCGACUGACAAACAAAAGUUUACAGUGAAACCUGAGAAGAGUUCGUGUGGCAAAAAAUUACGUGUUUUCUGUGGAUUUUCUUGCGAAAAAACUUGAACAAGUGUUUAGUAUGCCAAGUAAAUGUGCCGUUUUGAGCUGUCCCAUCUAUGCGCCGAACAAGCAACAUCACCUGUUCCGGAUACCGGCGGUUCGAAUUCGUUCCAGCGGAGAACUCAGACAGCAGAUGCUCCUGCGAAGGGCCCGAUGGGGCGAAGUCCUGCGGCUGUCCGACAUCCAAAUGACGCACGCUCUGGUUUGCGGCCGGCAUUUUGUUUCCGGAAAACCGGCCAAUCCGGAAGAGAUCGGCAGUGUCGAUUGGGUGCCGACGCUCAAUUUGGACGUCCAGGAGGACCAGGUUCGCCGGCGCAGUAUGUACGAACCGGUCAAGCAGGAGGCUUAUUCGGCGAGUGAGGCUCGAGAGGAAGCGGGUGAAACGCAGCCGAUGGUCCGAAUCGAGACAACUUCGUCGACGUGUUGCAUCCCGGGUUGUGUCAAUCGGCAGCAGCAGUGGCUGACGGAUUUCCCCCGGGACAAGGAAUUGCGGGAGCGAUGGUUGGCGGCAAUUUUGGCCGGGUGUGGCGAAACGAUUGCGGAUCAGGAACAGGAUGCGGACGGGAAGGUGCAGGUUUGCAACAUGCACUUUGCUGCUCAGGCUCCGGAGGGGAUCGCUAACGCAGUGGACAGUGGCUAUCGGGAACCGACUUUGUUCGUGAGAAACGACAUCCUGCUCCAGGUGGCCAGCUGUCGACUGUGCAUGACCUUCGAAACGGUAGACAACAUGUUCAAUAUGAAGCUAAACAUUGCCGACGGCCAUUCGCUCCAGUGGCUGGCCAAGAAGUACUUCGCCCAGUUCCUAUCGGUGGCCGAAUUCGCCGAGGAGGGUUUCUUCUGCGAACGGUGCACCGUUCAGCUCGACAUGGCUCACGUGUUCUGGCGGGAAAUCAGCGACAAAUCACGCAAAUACAAAUGGCUACUGCGAAAGAUGGCCAACGAACGGGUGGAGUUCAGUAGCAAAGUUGAAGACGACGACGGAGAAUCAACUCAGGCCGGACCAGAUCCAGCAACCCUGUUCAUAAAGGAAGAACCGCUAGAUGACGCCGAAAUGCGGAACUUGUCGGCGGGAGAAGGAAAUUCCAGUGUGAUUCAAAGCACAAUCACCAAAGAAAAGUCCUGUCUAGCAGAGCCCCCUUCGAUCCACCUCGUCAAGCCACCUCCGCUGAAAGUCCAACUCAACUUCAAAUGCUACGUCUGCUCAUCGCGCCACGAGAGCAAAAAUACCCUGAUCCACCAUCUGAUGAUGGACCACGUGGACCACACGGCCCUCCACUGCGAGGAGUGCAACGUGUCCUUCAAGAACAUCACGCUCUUCAACAAACACCUGGCAAUGCACGACCCCAGCAAGCGGAUCAAGUGCUCGUACUGUCCGUUGCGAUUCCGAAAAACCAGUGCCAGAGCGAAGCACGAAUUUUCGAUGCACAGUGAUGUGGCGACAGGAGACCAGACUACUGCGGGCACGUCCGCUUCGGUCAAGGACAAACCCAAGAGGUACCCGUGUUCGGAGUGUGACAAAUGUUUCAUGUACCUCUCCGAGCUGCAGCGACACGAAAAGAUGCAUUGGACACCCACUAGUUCCGAUACGGAAGGUGAAAGCGAGGCAGAUCAACCGCUAGCGACUGUAGGCGACUUUGUGAUACUUCAGCCCACGUUCGCUGCUGAUUCAGACGCAGAAGAUGUCGAUAUGUAUUCGAAUUCCUUGCUCUCCAUGGCAAACGACGUACAACAACAACAGCCGGAAAAACGGACAUCACGACGAGCCAAGCGCCGAAGAUUCCGAGCACCUAUACUGGAAAAGUGUGGAUGCAAGGCAGAGUGUGGCGUCAAAAUAGGGCCAGACAGAAAAGUUGAAAUCAACUCUCUGUUCUGGGAACUGUCCAAAAAGGAGCAGCUGGCGUUUGUAUUGCAAUUCAGUCAGCGUUAUCCUAUCAAACGACUGAGCGAACAAAGCAGUCAGGCCGGUCGGAGACAGUAUACGUACGACUAUCAGCUGGAAGAUGCGAGAGGCGUUCCACAGGAAGUGUGCUGUGCUUUCUUUCUGAAUACCCUCGGUUACGAUGUGAGAAGCAGCACCUUGAUCUACCGGUAUCACGACAAAGCCAAGAGCGGGCCGGCGCCGGUGUCAAAUAGGGAAAAGUAUAUCCGAGACAAAACGCUUCGGGAAGCGAUCAAGACCGAUGUCCUGAAAUACCUCUCGGCCAACUCAUCUGACAGCGACGUGCUUUGUCUACCGCCGAUGCUGUCGUAUCAGGAAAUGUUCAACUCUUUUGAGAGACAGUUGCAGCAAAACGGAGAAACUUGCAGCUACGGUUUCUACUGUAAAACGCUGAGGGAAUUGAAGUUGAUGAAUGUUCAUCAACUGUAGGAACACCAAUAGGGACGAGCUGCGGAAUAUUUUUUGUACGGCCGAUCUUCAAAGUUCAAACACCAAGGUGAAGCCAUUGCCCGGUGCGAAAUCUGCGACAAAGCCUUUGCCUCCAACCGAAACCUUUCGCGCCACCUGAAACUUCACCGUGACGAUGCCAAAGCUGACAACCUGACGACUCGGAACCGCAAGG